rnacentral:rRNA from 1 species
AUACGGAAGGUCCGGGCGUUAUCCGGAUUUAUUGGGUUUAAAGGGAGCGCAGGCGGCGAUGCAAGCGUGACGUCAAAUUUCGGGGCUCAACCCCGUCUCGCGUCGCGAACUGCGUCCCUUGGUUGCGGGAAGGGGAGGCGGAACUCGUGGUGUAGCGGUGAAAUGCAUAGAUAUCACGAAGAACUCCGAUCGCGAAGGCAGCCUUCCGGCUCGUCAACGACGCUCAUGCUCGAAGGUGCGGGUAUCAAACAGGUUUAGAUCCCCUGGUAGUCCGCACAGUAAACGAUGGACACCCGCGGUUUGGCCUGUAUGGCUGAGCCGCCAAGCGAAAGCGUUAAGUGUCCCACCUGGGGAGUACGCCGGCAACGGUGAAACUCAAAGGAAUUGACGGG